CAGGAUGGCUUUCAAAGAGUGAAUGCUGAGCCUGCAAUUAUGAAUUCAAGUCUGCAAAACCACAGAUGCAGCCCAGUUACAAUAGUUUCUCAGAGGUGUGCGGCAGCAGAGUGUGGUGUUGCAUGAUGACUGAUGUGUGGGUUUUAUGCAGUGCUUGCCAGCAAAGGUGCAGAUUGGGGUUGGUUGCUGUUCUUCACAUUAAACUGACGGACCUAAAAAAGCUCAAACAGAAGAGGAAAGAGAAGGUAUGCAGGUCCCAGAUGCCUCAUGGAAGUACUUAUUCUCUUUCAUUCUGCAAAUGA
rnacentral:lncRNA from 14 species